UAGGCUGGGAACUGCCCCACGUUCCGUCUUUUUCCCGUGGAAUGGAGAUUCCUCCUUUUCUGGAGUUUAUCCCAAAACCACCCAAACGUCCUCCUGGGAACGCCAGUGGUGAGGUCUGGAGCCUCCUGCCCUGGAGGUGUCCAGGGAAUUCCUGGAUGGGGCUUUUCCAACCUCAGGGAUUCCGGAAUUCCAUUUUCCAAGCGCUGCUCUCCCUUCUCCUGAUUUUUCACCCUGCUACGGGUGGAUUAGGCCUAAGAGCUUUGAAGAUGAAAGCGCCGCGCGCAAUAAAUAUUAACGUUAUCCCAACGUUGCCAGCGUUCCAGCUCCAACAUUUCUCAUCCAAGAAUCUCCCAGCGCUUUUCCAAACGUGAAUUCAUUUCCUCUCGGUCCGGGGAGGCACCCUUUACCAUCAUCAUCCUCAUUUCCCCGGGGAGGCGUCCUCAGAGCGCUUCACCCCGCGGAUUCGGGAAAAAACCUGGAGGUUUUUUUGGGAUUGAUCCAAUAAUUCCCGCCUCCCGUUUUCCCAGCCUUGCUGCCCCACCACAUUCCCGGCCUGGGAGUGGGGUGUGACACUCGGCUCCUUUAUUGGUCCAAUUGGUCUAAAAAAAUCCAGAAACCCUUCAUGAACACCACCCAGGGCAAGGGAGGAAAGGAAACUUCCAAAUCAGGAUGAUCCCAACCGGGAAUCCAGGAAUUUUCAGGAUUCUGGAUGUGCAGGAGGAAAUUCUGAUGGAAUGCUGAGUCAGAAUUUUAUAAUUCUUAUUUAGAGACGAUUAAAAUGGAAAUAUUUUGUCAAAUGCAUCCAUAGGUGAAGAUCUGAGCUGAAGGAAAGGAAACUUCCAGAUCAGGAUGAUCCCAGCCAGGAAUCCACCGAUUUUCGGGAUUUUGGAUCUGCAGGAGGAAAUUCUGAUGGAAUGCUGAGUCAGAAUCUUAUAAUUCUUACUUAAAAGACGAUUAAAAUGGAAAUAUUUCCUGGAAUGCAGCAGAGGUGAAGAUCUGAGCUGAAGGAAAGGAAACUCUUCCAAAUCAGGAUGAUCCCAACUGGGAAUCCAUAGAUUUUCAGGAUUUUGGAUAUGCAGGAUGAAAUCUGGACCAGAUGUUGAGUCAGAAUCUCAUCAUUCUUAUUUAAAAUAUGAUAAAAUGGAAAUAUUUUCUCAAAUAUUCUUCUUCCUUCUCGUGCUGCAUCCGCAGGUGAAGAUCUGAGCUGAAGGAAAGGAAACUCUUCCAAAUCAGGAUGAUCCCAGCCGGGAAUCCAUGAAUUUUCAGGAUUUUGGAUGUGCAGGAGGAAAUUCUGACAGGACGUUGAGUCAGAAUCUUGGAAUUUUUAUUUAAAAGAUGAUUAAAAUGGAAAUAUUUCCUGGAAUGCAGCAGAGAUGAAGGUCACAACUUCUCCCCAAAAUCCCCUCCCCAGUCCAGAGGUGAGUGAGCGCCGAGCCAAAACAAGAAGAGGAUUUGGAGCCAGUGAGGGCAGCUGGGAACAAGGAGGAGUUCCAGAAUAGCGCAAUUGACGGCUGGAAAAACAACAUCCAUGUAAUUACAUCCAGUUUUUGGCCAAUUUGAAGCUUCUGGAGGAGCUGAUAUUUUAACUUUUGCCUGGCUUUGAAUUUCUCAGCUCCUCAGGACCUGCCGUGGUUGGUUUUUACUCUUCCUUCUUGUGCUGCCUCCACAAAUGAUGAAAAUUGGUGCUAAUGACCAAAAAAACCCCAAAAAAAUCCCGAAGGUGAUUCAUGGAAAUGGAAUUUUGUUGACAAAAAGAAAAGGGGAUUUAAGUCAGCCAAAGGAAAUGCUUUUCCAACUGGAGAGGAAUAUCUGAGGAAUGACCAUUUCUUCUCCGAGACAGAACUGUCCCAGCUUGAAUUCACAAAAAACCAGAAUAAUUCAAAUGAAACCUGGAGAAAAGCGACCAGAUCCACCCAAAAUGGGCACUUUUGGCAGGGAAAAGACCCAAAAUCGGAUUUUAUGUGGGUGAAAUGAAGGUGAGGAGGGCAGGACACGCUGUCCCCUUCCCCUGGGGACACAGCUCAGCCCAGGAAUUCCAGAAUCCUGGAAUGGGUGGGCUGGGAAAGCCCCUCAAAGCUCCUCCUGUCCCCCAUGUCACCCCAGGUGUCCCCAAACCUGUCCAGGUGUCCCCAAACCCUGUCCAGGUGCCCCCAAACCCUGUCCAGGUGUCUCUUAGACCCCCCCAAGCCCAUUCCCAAUGUCCCCAGGUGUCCCCAAACCUGUCCAGGUGUCCCUCACCCUGUCCCUGAUGUCCCCAGGUGUCCCCAAACCUGUCCAGGUGUCCCUUAGACCCCCCCAAGCCCAUUCCCAAUGUCCCCAGGUGUCCCUCACCCUGUCCCUGAUGUCCCCAGGUGUCCCCAACCCUGUCCAGGUGUCCCUCACCCUGUCCCUGAUGUCCCCAAACCCCGUCCAGGUGUCCCUCACCCUGUCCCUGAUGUCCCCAGGUGUCCCCAGGGCUGGUUUUGAUAGUCCCAGGUGUCCCCAGAGUGUCCCCAGCUGUCCCCAGCCUUGGUCUUGGUGUCCCUUACACCCCCUCAAUCCCGUCCCCAAUGUCCCCAGGUGUCCCCAACCCUGCUCCCGGUGUCCCUAAGCCUGGCCCCGAUGUCCCUCAGUGUCCCCAGCCCUGUUCUUGAUGACACCACGUGUCCACAAUCCUGCUCCUGGCUCUUGGUGUCCCCAACCCUGUCCCAAACAUCCUCAGGUGUCCCCAAACCCUGUCCAGGUGUCCCCAAACACUGACCAGGUGUCCCUCACCCCAUCCCUGAUGUCCCCAGGUGUUGCCAGUGCUGCUUUUGAUGUUCCCAGGUGUCCCCAGGUGUCCCCAAACCCUGUCCAGGUGUCCCCAGGUGUCCCCCCACUCACUCGCAGGCAGGUGGCCCAGACCAGUAAGGCCAUGGAUGGGGAUACUGGGGGAUACUGGGGGAUACUGGGGGAUA